ensembl:misc_RNA Y_RNA Y RNA
AGCUGGUCCGAUGGUGUUGAGUUACCAGAACUUAUUAACAUUAGUGUCACUAAAAUUGGUAUAUAGUCCCCCACUGCUAAAUUUGGCCUUAA